rnacentral:lncRNA from 1 species
AUGGAGCAGCUGAGUUCAGCCAACACCCUCUUCGCCUUGGAGCUGUUCCACACCCUGAAUGAAAGCAGCCCCACGGGAAAUGUCUUCUUCUCUCCCUUCAGCAUUUCUUCUGCCUUGGCCAUUAAUCUUUCUGGGGGCCAAAGGCAGCACUGCAGCCCAACUCUCUAAGGAGUACUUGGCUUCAACCCAGAAAACGUACAGUGCUGACUUGGCCCUUGUGGAUUUUCAGCAUGCUUCUGAGGAUGCAAGGAAGGAGAUAAACCAGUGGGUCAAAGGUCAAGCAGAAGGGAAAUUCCAGACCUGUUGGCUGAGGAUGUGGUGGACAGCAUGACCAGACUUGAGGUAGUAAAUGCCAUCUAAUUCAAGGGAAUGUGGCAGAAAAAAUUCAUGACACUGGACAUAACAGAUGCUCCAUUCCGACUGAGUAAGAAAGACACAAAAACAAUGAAGAUGAUGUAUCAAAAGAAUAAUCUUCCAUUUGGCUAAAUUCUAGACAUGAAGUGUAAGGUGCUGGAGAUGCCUUACCAGGGUGGAAAGCUUAGCAUGGCCAUCCUGCUGUCUGAAGACACUGAGGACAAGUCCACAG